GACGAACGCUGGCGGCGUGCUUAACACAUGCAAGUCGAACGAAGUGGCGCACGGGUGAGUAACGCGUAAUCCACCUUCCCUUCAGAGGGGGACAACCGUUUGAAACGACUGCUACUAACGCAUACUUAAGGAAGUGAUUGCGUCUGUUUAGCUAGUUGGAGGGGUAACGGACCACCAAGGGGAUGAUCAGUAGCCUGUCUGAGAGGGUGAACGGCCACAUUGGGACGGAGGAACGGCCCAGACUCCUACGGGAGGCAGCAGUGGGGAAUCUUCCGCAAUUGACGAAAGUCUGACGGAGCAAAGCCGCGUGAGUGAUGACGGCCUUCGGGUUGUAAAGCUCUGUUAAUCGGGACGCGGUACCGGAAUAGAAAGCAACGGCUAACUACGUGCCAGCAGCCGCGGUAAUUC
rnacentral:rRNA from 1 species